AUUGAACGCCGGCGGCAUGCCUUACACAUGCAAGUCGAACGGUAACAGGUUAAGCUGACGAGUGGCGAACGGGUGAGUAAUGUAUCGGAACGUGCCCAGUCGUGGGGGAUAACUACUUGAAAGAGUGGCUAAUACCGCAUACGACCUGAGGGUGAAAGCGGGGGAUCGCAAGACCUCGCGCGAUUGGAGCGGCCGAUAUCAGAUUAGCUAGUUGGCGAGGUAAAGGCUCACCAAGGCGACGAUCUGUAGCUGGUCUGAGAGGACGACCAGCCACACUGGGACUGAGACACGGCCCAGACUCCUACGGGAGGCAGCAGUGGGGAAUUUUGGACAAUGGGCGCAAGCCUGAUCCAGCCAUGCCGCGUGUGGGAAGAAGGCCUUCGGGUUGUAAACCACUUUUGUCGGGGAAGAAACGGUUUGGGCUAAUACCCUGAGCUAAUGACGGUACCCGAAGAAUAAGCACCGGCUAACUACGUGCCAGCAGCCGCAGUAA
rnacentral:rRNA from 1 species